rnacentral:rRNA from 1 species
CCUACGGGUGGGCAGCAGUCGAGAAUCAUUCACAAUGGGGGAAACCCUGAUGGUGCGACGCCGCGUGGGGGAAUGAAUGUCUUCGGAUUGUAAACCCCUGUCAUGUGGGAGCAAAUUAAAUAGAUAGUACCACAAGAGGAAGAGACGGCUACCUCUGUGCCAGCAGCCGCGGUAAUACAGAGGUCUCAAGCGGUGUUCGGAAUCACUGGGCGUAAAGCGUGCGGAGGCUGUUUCGUAAGUCGGGUGGGAAAGGCGCGGGCUCAACCCACGGACGGCAGAUGAUACUGCUAGUCUGGAGAGAGGGAGAGGUAAGCGGAAUUCUCGGUGUAGGAGUAAAAUGCGUAGAUAUCGAGAGGAACACUCAGGGCGAAGGCGGGUUGCUGGACAAUAACUGACGCUGAGGCACGAAGGCGAGGGGAGCGAAAGGGAUUAGAUACCCUAGUAGUC